GUUUAAUUCGAUGCAACGCGAAGAACCUUACCUACUCUUGACAUCCAGAGAAUUCGCCAGAGAUGGCUUAGUGCCUUCGGGAACUCUGAGACAGGUGCUGCAUGGCUGUCGUCAGCUCGUGUUGUGAAAUGUUGGGUUAAGUCCCGCAACGAGCGCAACCCUUAUCCUUUGUUGCCAGCGGUUCGGCCGGGAACUCAAAGGAGACUGCCAGUGAUAAACUGGAGGAAGGUGGGGAUGACGUCAAGUCAUCAUGGCCCUUACGAGUAGGGCUACACACGUGCUACAAUGGCGCAUACAAAGAGAAGCGACCUCGCGAGAGCAAGCGGACCUCAUAAAGUGCGUCGUAGUCCGGAUCGGAGUCUGCAACUCGACUCCGUGAAGUCGGAAUCGCUAGUAAUCGUAGAUCAGAAUGCUACGGUGAAUACGUUCCCGGGCCUUGUACACACCGCC
rnacentral:rRNA from 1 species